rnacentral:rRNA from 1 species
CCUACGGGAGGCAGCAGUGGGGGAUAUUGCACAAUGGGGGGAACCCUGAUGCAGCGACGCCGCGUGGGUGAAGAAGCGCCUCGGCGCGUAAAGCCCUGUCAGCAGGGAAGAAAAUGACGGUACCUGUAGAAGAAGCCCCGGCUAACUACGUGCCAGCAUCCGCGGUAAUACGUAGGGGGCAAGCGUUAUCCGGAUUUACUGGGUGUAAAGGGGGCGCAGACGGGGUUGCAAGCCAGGAGUGAAAGCCCCGGGCCCAACCCCGGGACUGCUCUUGGAACUGCGUGGCUGGAGUGCAGGAGGGGCAGGCGGAAUUCGUGGUGUAGCGGUGAAAUGCGUAGAUAUCAGGAGGAACACCGGUGGCGAAGGCGGCCUGCUGGACUGCAACUGACGUUGAGGCCCGAAAGCGUGGGGAGCAAACAGGAUUAGAUACCCGGGUAGUC